CUGCGGGCCCUGUGAAGCCACACAUCCGCAAAUUGUUUAUUUCUGUUUUACUUGUCGUUCAUUUCUGCUCAAAAUUCGAAAUGUCAUUUAUUGGAAGAGGGUUGGUUUCUGUCAUGAGAAAUGCACCAAAUAGACUUCGUGCCAAUCAAAACAGGGUUUGUCUGCGCACUGUGGUACGACAUAGAACCACAAAUGAUAACGGCGGUUUGCUGUCUGCCCCAUUUUCAAUGCGGUUUGGAUUGCCCAAGGUUGUUGCUGUGGUAGUCCCAUUCCUUUAUUUUGGUGCGACAAUCAGCAAGGAAGGGGCUGCUUUCCUGGAGGAGUAUGAUAUCUUUGUUCCUGAGGAUGAUGACUAGAGUGCUUUCUGUGCAAGAACUUUUGCAAUUUCACAGACCUCUGUCCUGACGUUAGAGUGAGUUAAGAUGGGACACGGUAGCACUUGGUAGAUAGAACAUCAAUCUGCAAUACCUAGAAGUCUAAAUCUCAUUACUGUUAGUAUUUAUGGGUAUGGCAAGGUCUUAUUGGAAAGUUUUUUUAAAUUGAACAUUAUGUGAAUAUAGAAAUGUUAUUUAUAUGCAAAUAUAUACAACCUUAAAUCUUUCUAACAACUUGAUCUUAAUGAUUUAUUAAUAGUAUUUGGUAGAGAGACUGUAUGAGUUAGAACUUGCUGUAGAAUUAUUAACUAUCACAAACGUCAAAAAAAUGAGCUAUAGAGGAAAUUUAAUAAGUAGUUAUAUGCUUGUACUUCUAGAUAUAAUGUACUAAUUAUGUAACAGGCCAUUAAAGUGACUGCAUAUUUCAGCUAAUCCUCAUCUUAAAUGACAUUAAAUGUGGUUUAUUGAAUAUGUUGAUGAUUGUGUUAUGCUGUUAACAUGAGAGGAAAUGUUAAGAAAAUAUCAUACCGGUACUGAAUAAUCCAUGAGAAACUUAGAUAUUCUUUAUUAGAGCCUAUAUACUGACUUGAUAAUAUGCUGUUACUAGCCAGGAAUUGAGUUUAGGGUGAACCUAUCUCUUAUCACUGGUCUUAGCCCUAAUCUAACUCAAAAUUGGGCCAAAAUACUGAAGUGAUUAUGAUAUAUGUUUGAAGUCUUGUAGAAACACAUAUGAAAUGACUUACUAAAAAGAAACUAGCACCAUUAUUUUUAUGAUAGCACAAACUGAAAAAAUAAAAUAUGCAUAUUAAUAAUUGGGGAAAAAGACACCCAACUUAGUUCCAGGGUGUGCUGUAAUUGUAAAUCAAGUUUUUUAAGAAAUCAAAAUUCACCAACAAAAAUGUCCCUUUUCCUGAAUGAUUAUAAAACAAGACUUUUUUGAGGGAGUGCACGUUAUUGACAGUAUGAUAUAAAAUAUUCCUUCACAGAAGUUGUUAAUAAUGGUUGAAGUGCUUAGAUAAACACUCACUAGAUUUAGAUACAUGUAAUUUGGUAUUUUGUUAUAUAUAUGUACUGCUGAUUGAGCAUGUCUACAAAUUCCAUCUCUAAUUGUAUAAGAAUAUUUCAGGUAACGGUAUCACUAAUUUAAGGGUAACUAAUAGAAUAUUAAACCAGGAUUUAUUAUAAGUACACUACUAAACGGGUGAUCCCUCACUAAACAGAUAUAACCGUCUCAGCCAGACAUACUCUCAAUGAAACAUGCAUUGAUACAAGAGACUGAAGCUUUCAAUUGAAUAAAACAUAUUUAGAUAUUUCUCAACCAUUGUACUAUAUAAGUAAAUGUAAUUUUGUCAUACAUUUUUUAAUGCAAUUGAUAAUGUUACACUGCAAUGUGAAACGCUAUUGAGAAUUUGUGAAUGGUGUGCAAUUCAGCUUUUGGCUGCAAAGCAUUGACAGGAUUCAGUUAAAAGAAUAUUGACAAUAGAUAAUAAAACAAGGUACACGUAUUGAAUCAAAUUUGAA